ensembl:ncRNA F36D1.17 ncRNA
AAAUAUCAAUUUUCCGCCAAGUUACAGCAGUUUGCAGUUGAUGGCCUAGUUUUGGAUUUCUAGGCCACCAACAUCAA